rnacentral:rRNA from 1 species
GUUUGAUUAUGGCUCAGAUUGAACGCUGGCGGGAUGCUUUACACAUGCAAGCCGAACGGCAGCCUGGACUUCGGUCACGGGUGGCGAGUGGCGAACAGGUGAGUAAUGUAUCGGAACGUGCUAGUAGCAGGGAUAACUACGCGAAAGCGUAGCUAAUACCGCAUACGCCCAUGUCGGGGAAAGCGGGGGACCUUCGAGCCUCACACUAACGAAACCGAUAUCGGAUUAGCUAGUUAGUGGGGUAACGGCUCGCAAAGGCGACGAUCCGUAGCUGGUUUGAGAGAACGACCAGCCACACUGGGACUGAACUGGCGGCCCAGACUCCUACGGAGGCAGCAGUGGGGAAUUUUGGACAAUGGGGGGAAACCCUGAUCCAGCCAUCCCGCGUGUGCGAUAGGCCUUCGGGUUGUAAUAAAAGAAAGGCACUUUUGGCAGGAAAAAAACGGCACGGGAUAAUACCCGUGCAACUGACGGCUUACUGCAGAAUAAGCACACCGGCUAACUACGUGCCAGCAGCCGCGGUAAUACGUAGGGUGCAAGCGUUAAUCAGACACUGGGCGUAAAGCGUGCGCAGGCGGUUCGGAAAGAUGUGAAAUCCCAGAGCUUGUAACUUUGGAACUGCAUUUUUAACUACCGAGCUAGAGAGAGUGUGUCAGAGGAGGUGGAGAUUCCAUGGUAGCGGUGAAAUGCACGUAGAUAUGCGGAGGUACACCGAUGGCAAGAAACAGCCUCCUGGGAUAACACUGACUCAUGCACAGCGUGAAACAAACAAGUUCUCGUGCCCUGGUAGUCCGCCUAAAACAGUGUCAGCUAUAUUAUUAAAAUUUCUUAAACAGCUUAUUAGCCUAUGCUGCUGUGGGGAUUAUUCACAUUUUCCCGCAGAAAAUACAGUCAUAAAAUUGAAACUCAAAGAAUAUCAAGACCACACAGAAAAGCGGUAGAUGAUGUAGGUAGACUGAUACAACACCAAAAAAGCCUACCGCCAACAUAUCUAAAUCAAAGAUUUAAGGAGUGCUCGCAGAGGCCGGAACACAGGUACUGCAUAGCUGUCGUAAAGCUCGUGUCGUGAGAUGUUGAGUUAAGUCCACAACGGCCGCAACCUUGUCAUUAGUUGCUACGAAAGACACUCUAAUGAGACUGCGCCGGUGACAAACCGGAGGAAGGUGGGGAUGACGUCGGAAGUCCUCAUGGCCAUAUAUUGAGACUGCCCGUCAUCCGCAAUGGUCGGAACGGUCAUAUUAACCGCGAAGAACCAAUCCCGAAGCGAUCGUAAUCCGGAUCGCAAUCUACGACUCAAGCUGCGUGAAGUCAGGAGGAAAUCGCUAGUAAUCGCGGAUCAGCGUGUCGCGUGAAUACGUUCCAGGUCUUGUACACACCGCCGUCACACCAUGGGAGUGGUUUUGCAGAGUAGUUAGCCUAACCGUGGAGGGCGAUUACGGUAGGAUUCAUGACUGGGGUGAAGUCAUGCUCGCGUCG